UCCUUCCUCAGUUCGUACCCUCCAGCUGUUCCCGCGACAGCAGUCAUUGCAAGCCUUCUUCCUCACAUCGUACUUUCCUGCUGUUCCCACCGACAGCAGUCACCGCAAACCUCCUUCCUCACACCGUAUCCUCUUAUUGUUCCCGCCGACAGCAGGCAUUGCAAACCACUCCUCACAUCAUACGCUGAGGUGUUCCCGCCGACAGCUCUCGCACGGCACUCACCAAAUUCCUUCUCCCAAGUAUCACAGAAAGCCACCACACACACCCAUGUAGCGUAAGCCCUUGCCAGAUUAUUCGCACACCACCACCACCACAGCUGUUCGUGCAGGCGAGCUGACAAGGUCGGCUCAGCUUUGACCGUGAUGACUCCUCGGACCAGACAACGCCUCGUAUCUAACGGACAUAAGAGCUAUAGCUGACACAUCUCCAGCUUCUUACAUCGUGCCCUGCUCGAAGCCCUCAUAAUGGAAAUUAAUGCCUCAAUCGCCAACAUCCACCACGCCACAGGGGGGAGGCUGGAGAGGUGACGCUGAGCUACAGGGCGUGUGGCGGCGGUGGUGGCAGCGACGUAGCAGCCGGCAGCCAGCAGCCACAGGAGCCGCCGCUGCACGCCGUCCUCAUUCGUUGUUUUGUCCCAGAGCUGUACAUACAAUCUGACACUCACAACGGCAACAACUCUAGUGUUAAAUAAAUACCUCUUACCUGCCAUAAGUAAGCUUAUUCACGUAGACUAAACUUGCGUUCUUGCUGUCAACACUGCUGUGUGCUUUAUUGGAAUUUUUUAUCAAUGUUGUUGGUGGUGUUAAUUGGUGUUUUUUCAAUGUCCAUGUGCAUUUCGUGUAAAUAUUGUUUACUUAAAUCAGUGUAAUGAAGAAACAAAUGACGGUAACGAAUUUGCUCAACGAGCGGCUCUCCGACUCAGUGCGCCGUCGACGAUUCCUCUACCGAAGACUCGAGGGGCGGCAUUCAGCUCGUCGUGACAUCCGGAGUCCCUGUUUCUGUGUGCCGGCAGAACUACACCCCUCUUCGGCCUCUCUCUUUCUCUUUUUAGUGAGCGCUAAUUAGCAGUUAAUGACAAUGACUUUCUCCAAUUUCUCACAUAACAAUUUCGCUAAAUAGUUUAGUACCACUGAUAACCUUACAGAGUCAUAAAUGCUACCCACACGUCCUCACUUUUCCUCUACUCUAUGCUAUGGCUUUUUGUUGACUGCUUGAUUUCGCCCUCUUUUUCUGCUGUCGCAUUUCAGAGCUUCGCUUACGAGGUGUGCCGGCCACACCCCAUUUCCGGCCAAAGCGAGACGUUGUGAACACCAACAGGAUUACCUUGCUAUAAAGUUCAUUACAUCCUUUCUGUCCAUCAGUUGGGCUCAUAUGUAUCAGUAUUAAAGCGUCAGAUAUGUUGAAACACCUUUGAUAACAACACAGGCUGUGUCAGUGCUAUCGUUACCAAAGUUAGUUUUUAAGAUUAGUGAUAAGUCUAUUCUCAGGCAUUUUAAUGUAAUAUUCGGCCAUGUGAUUGUCAUCGGUUUAUUUGUAGUUAGGUUAUGGUGUUAGGAAUAGUCCAAAAAUUAAAUAUUUAUCCUCCAAAUGAGCAGCAUUCACAAUUAGAGGUGCCUACUCCUACGGAACUCUGUCGCGUCGUUUCACCCAUCGUCACUCAUCUCCUCUCCGAUUCAUCACCACGCUUUUCUUUUUUUUCCGUGGGUAGUCACGAGCGGCGCUGUUCGCCAGCUGGUGAACGUUGUGUGCGCUCUGCCUAUUGUUCUGCCCGCAGUAGUCAAGUAGUCACCAGUGUCAUUAUCAUUCAGCGAGUCAAAUAAGUUAUGUCCUUCUCCCUUCUCUUAUCAUAUGUACAUCUCGUUCCCGAUCCUUCACGAAGUCUUCCAUUUCGUAAUAGCUGCGGCACGUGCUGCUCGUGACAUGAAGACUGUUCUGUGACUGUAUCUCUAUAACCAACUGUACCACGCAACUGCAACAUUUCAUCCACCUCAGUCUUUAGACAGCCACGACAGCAGCAGUUGUUCCCAAUUGUAAAUAGUUUCCCGUUCCACAUCCAUAGUAGCUGACAAUUCUGCCCUUCAGAUCUCGCGUUGACCGAGUUGUCACUUAUUGUGGAAUUUCAGAGAAUUUUAUUUAUAUGAGGCGAAAUCAGUUUGUGUGUCUUAUUGAUGUAAAAAACGAUGUUAGUGGCACUCCAGAAUGUCGCUUUUGCCUGAGUUUCUUACACGGUUUGCAAUCUUUUCACGCUGAAUAAUGAGCUCUUUCAGUUCUUACACAUUUUUAGGAUAUUAUGUAGCUGAGGUUACUUGAGCAGCUUAGUGACGAAAUCCAUAAUUUUAUUUAUGCAUUCCUAGUGCUUGUGCAGUAAGUGUAGAGUAAAAGAAGUUUUCGGGUAAGAAAUCCACCUUCAGUCAUAAAACAGGCCCAUAAGUAUGACUGAAGGUGGCUAUCUCACACCAAAACUUCUUUUUGUAAAAACCCAUGUUCGUUUUCCCCAAAAAUAGGUUGACUUUGAUACUGCCAUAAUAUUUUUAAUGCUCCAAACGAUUGAUGAUGUUUAAUUAUAGUGUUCAUUUUUCCUUUUGUCGAUUCCCUUGUUUGAGUACUAAAACUUAAAUCCAACCAUAAGAAACUGAAUUAUGCGUUCCACUAUCGCGACCUCUUCAUAAACCGACUGCCAAAUUAUACGUUAUGGCUUGUUUUCAUAUGUCUUCCACAACCACGAAGUUUUCAGACUUCCAUGCUGAUACUUAGGCGACUGUUGCUUUGUGUAAUCUCUUACACUUACAGCGCCUGUGUUCAUGCGUCGAGUGCUUACAGAUCCAGGGCAUUAAAGUACAAAUCACUGGACUUCGUCUCUUGCGUUCAUAGUAAUCAACCAUAGUCUCAAUUUCAGUUCAAAAUUCCCUGUUGUUGGAUCUUUGGCCGCAAGGCUUCAUUUUACUUGGGUUGGGCAAGCACUGUCCGCUUCUUUCAUCUACAGCAAAAUUUUAUUUCCUACAUAUCCUCUGUUCGCAUUUCAUUAAAUGUCUGUUUAUGUUGUACAUGUUUUAUAUAAAAUAACAGAUGUUUAUUUUGACGGCAGUAAGUCAUGCUUCACUUAAUAUAGUAUUUGCCCUUAGUUAGGAAUAGCUGUAAAUCUAAAUGCGACAGCUGGAAAUUCACACAGAACUCAAAUGCCGUUCUUACGUCCACUGACCACCCUGACAUCGCACGCGGUGACUCCGGUAUUGUGCUUAUGCACAGUUUAAUUUUACGCACACACCAUCUGUUUGUGAUAAGCUAUAAGUCAUUUCUUCCUUCCCUUGCCCACUGUAGAAAAGGUGUAUUGCUAGUUCGUAACGAGACUUGCGAUGAUUGCAUUGCGUUAUUUUUUGACUGACAGGGUAACAAAACCUUAGCUGCAAGCUUCAAGCCUGUUAAUCGCCAGUGACAAUGAGUGACAAUGUGUUUUUUUUUAAUGUCUCCUUUCAAAUCUGCUUUGAAAACGGUGCUCGUUAUAUUUAAAUGUUGUUUGUGUUUUUAUUAUCUAGAGGUAUGAAAUCUAAAUUUCCGAAAUAUAAACGGCACACCUUUAUGUAUAACUGACUUUCAUUUAUUGUAAUGUUGUUUUGAACAUGAAUAGUAAGAAAAUUUCCAAAAUUUGGUUCUUAAAACUAAUUACUUUUUGACACUCAGUAGGAGAUUGUUUCACAAACUGACAAGGGAUUACGUUUUUCUUGAUUAAUAAUUUGAUUAAUUUUUCAUCUCAUGCAAGAAGAUGGGUGCAGAUUUUAAUUGCAAGUAGUUCAAGUGAUAGUUCCUUAUUACUGUGGCAGAGACGGUUAAGUAUGAGGAAAAGCUGUCACUGUCUUGUGUGACACUUAUUUUAACAUUAAUCAGAUCUAAUUAGUUGCAUAUAUAUCUUUUUACUGCUUACUACAUAGUUGAAUAGCUCUUUGAAUUCUAAUUCGCAGUUAGAGAACAUUUUUUGUCGUUGUUGCUAGUAGAAUGGUAGAAUCUCAUUGCUUUACAGUAACACAUGGUGAGACUGUUAUGUUUAUCUCUCGAGUACAUUAGUAUAAAUUGACAUAGCUGUAUGUCUGGUCACAAAUAAAGUUACUUACUUUGUCAUUAAUUUGUGUUUGAUGUAGUAAAUAAUGUUUAAAGCACUAAACCUUGUUAAAUCCAAAACAAUCUCCUGCCACUACCCUUUGUUAAGGAGAAUACGUAUAUCUAAACAAUUAUCUGGAGGCCAUUUAUUAUUUAGUGAUGUAAUAUAUGUGUAAAAACUAUGAACCGAAAAUUACGACGAUUUUGUAAAUAGCAUGAAAAAUAUUGAUGAAAAAUAGUGAGUAAUGAACGAUCGGUAUUUAGUUUAUAGGAACAGAAAACAGAUAGCUACAGUCUUCUACUUGAAAAUAGUUAAGGUGGUAUUCUUGGGACAAUUACUAACGAAAUUAUUUUGAUAAAAAUUUAAGGAGACAAAGCAGUAACUUUUCCGUGAGAGCAAAGUUGAAGUUUAAGGUGUUUUUCCUAGUAUGGUAGUUAUUCAUCAUUUUAAACUGAACCUGAUUUAAACUAACAUUUAGUUUCCUUAGAUUGAAUAACUGAAUCUUAUGUGUAUCAUGUUUCAUCAUACUUGGAGUUCAGUUUGUUAUACUAAUAUUAAUCAAUCAAAAUUUUAGUUGGCUUAAUACAAUAUGAGUUUAUGCAACAUCCCAUUGGACCUAAUAGAGAUAUGCUUGUAGUGAAAAACUUAGUUUGUAAUUAACUUAGUGAGAAAUCUAUUUUAUUUAUAUUCACAUUUUCUAUUUUAAAAAUUAUUUAAAUUGAUUCAGUACAUAACUGCAUAAAUUGCCAUCUGUUCCUUUGUGAAAACAUGAUUUCACUGAGCAAGUCUACGUUGUUUAAAUAGUUGUUAGAUUUGUCUACUGUGAUAUUAUGUACUUACUAUCCUGUUUAUCUGUGCAUAUGUGGUUACAGUUAUUACAGAUGUGUUCUUUGUUAUAUGUGGCAAAAUAACUGUACUUGUAAUUGAUAAUCUUUCUCUUAAUAUUAUUUCUGUACAUUUAUUUUAUUGUUUAUGCCAGAGUUUAGAUAUAUUUUGAAAACAAAUGUGGUUACAGUAUAUAUAUUUGCUCUCUGUAGUAUGUACCAAAAAUAAUUGUGUAGUUAUUAGGCAAGAAAUAUUGGGAAAAACGUUAUGGUUUGUGUUAUUUUGUCAUGUGUAACAUGAACAAAAAACUAUGUAGUUAUUAGGCCAGAUAUAUUGGAAAAAUAUUGUGGUUACAUUUAUUUUGCCCUUUGUAGUAGGUAUCAAAAUAACAGUUCUUUUAACGGAUAAGCUUUCCUUUCACAUUCCACGUUCUUCCUGUAUAUUUGUUUGUGCCUGAUUUUAUAUAUAUAUAUAUAUAUAUAUAUAUAUAUAUAUAUAUAUAUAUAUAUAUAUAUAUGUGUGUGUGUGUGUGUGUGAAAUAUGUAAUUGUCUCUAUCAUUAUUGUGUAGUUAUUGGGCAAGAAAUAUUGGAAAAAUUGGGUGGUUACAGUCACUAUAUUUGUUCUCCAUAAAAGAUACCAAAAUAACUGUGUCGCUAUUGGACAAGAAACAUUUGAAAAAGUAUGUGGUUAUAGUCAAUAUAUUUCUUCUCGGUAGAAUGUAGCCUAAUAAUUAUGUAGUUAUUGCGCAACAAAUGUUGGAAAAAACAUCGUGGUUAAAGCUGUUUUGCUCUACUCUCUGUGGUAUUUACCACAAUAACUGUACUCUUAAUAGGUAAUCUGUCCUUUGGCUUUCAUCCCAUAACUUUGUUUAAUUGAUUGUACCUGAGUUCAUGUGUGUGUGUGUGUGUGUGUGUGUGUGUGUGUGUGUGUGUGUGUGUGUGUGUGUGUGUGUAUGUGUGU